UACGUAGGGUGCGAGCGUUAAUCGGAAUUACUGGGCGUAAAGCGUGCGCAGGCGGUUCGUUAAGUCAGCUGUGAAAGCCCCGGGCUCAACCUGGGAAUUGCGGUUGAAACUGGCGGACUAGAAUCUGGCAGAGGGGGGGUGGAAUUCCACGUGUAGCAGUGAAAUGCGUAGAUAUCGGGAGGAACACCGGUGGCGAAGGCGGCGACCUGGACCAACACUGACACUGAUGAGCGAAAGCCAGGGGAGCAAAGCGGG
rnacentral:rRNA from 1 species